AGAUUAAGUUAUUAAGGGCGCACGGUGGAUGCCUUGGCACUAGAAGCCGAUGAAGGACGUUACUAACGACGAUAUGCUUUGGGGAGCUGUAAGUAAGCUUUGAUCCAGAGAUUUCCGAAUGGGGAAACCCAGCAUGAGUUAUGUCAUGUUAUCGAUAUGUGAAUACAUAGCAUAUCAGAAGGCACACCCGGAGAACUGAAACAUCUUAGUACCCGGAGGAAGAGAAAGAAAAUUCGAUUCCCUUAGUAGCGGCGAGCGAAACGGGAAGAGCCCAAACCAACAAGCUUGCUUGUUGGGGUUGUAGGACACUCUAUACGGAGUUACAAAGGACGACAUUAGACGAAUCAUCUGGAAAGAUGAAUCAAAGAAGGUAAUAAUCCUGUAGUCGAAAAUGUUGUCUCUCUUGAGUGGAUCCUGAGUACGACGG
rnacentral:rRNA from 1 species